GGUGCCAUCAUUGUCAUCCCCCACUAUCGCCUCAGGCUCGAGCAUCGCCUUCCCUCUUCCUCAGUGUGCUCGGCUUUUCUCGAGUCCUGACCAGACUAGCAUUUUUCCUCCACACCACUGUGCCUUCUUCUCACACCUAUGUGCCUCCUCUUCAUACCCCUGUGCCUCCUCGCCUUCUCUUCUUCCCAUCUCCUCUCCACCUCUCGGGCCCCAGUGUCCUCCCCGCCU
rnacentral:lncRNA from 1 species